AUACGGAGGAUCCGAGCGUUAUCCGGAUUUAUUGGGUUUAAAGGGUGCGCAGGCGGGAAGUUAAGUCGGCGGUGAAAUUUUGCAGCUCAACUGUAAAAGUGCCUUCGAAACUGGCUUUCUUGAGUGUAGAUGAAGUAGGCGGAAUUUGUGGGUGUAGCGGUGAAAUGCAUAGAUAUCACGAGGAACUCCGAUUGCGCAGGCAGCUUACUAAACUACCAACUGACGCUCAUGCACGAAGGCGUGGGUAUC
rnacentral:rRNA from 1 species